AGCUUUGUGCAGUGGCAGUAUCGUAGCCAAAGAGGUUUAACUGAGGCACGAUUAUUGCUAAUUAAAACACAAACAUAUACAAAUGCACAUGCUAUACUUAAAAAGCAAAGAGUCCUUAGAUGGGUGAUAAUGGAAUUAUUUUCCACUUUUUAAAAG
rnacentral:snRNA from 1 species